rnacentral:rRNA from 1 species
CAGCCGCCGCGGUAAUACGAAGGGUGCAAGCGUUACUCGGAAUUACUGGGCGUAAAGCGUGCGUAGGCGGCUUCUUAAGUCGGAUGUGAAAUCCCUGAGCUUAACUUAGGAAUUGCAUUCGAUACUGGGAAGCUAGAGUAUGGGAGAGGAUGGUAGAAUUCCAGGUGUAGCGGUGAAAUGCGUAGAGAUCUGGAGGAAUACCGAUGGCGAAGGCAGCCAUCUGGCCUAAUACUGACGCUGAGGUACGAAAGCAUGGGGAGCAAACAGGAUUAGAUACCCGUGUAGUCCCUGUCUCUUAUAC